GUGUACAGCCAUACCACCCCAAAUACACCUUCAUCUGAUCUUGGAAGCUAAGCAGGGUCUUUGGCCUGGUUAAUACUUUAACCGGACACUGCCUGGGAAUACAGGACACUUUUUUAA
ensembl:rRNA 5S_rRNA 5S ribosomal RNA